UCCGUAGGUGAACCUGCGGAAGGAUCAUUAAAGAGACGUUGCCUCGGGUAGUACCUCCCACCCUUUGUUUAUUUAUACCUUUGUUGCUUUGGCAGACCCGGCUUCGGCCCACCGGCUCCGGCUGGUCAGUGUCUGUCGAGGGACCUAAAACUCUGUUUGUUAAUAUUGUCUGAGUACUAUAUAAUAGUUAAAACUUUCAACAACGGAUCUCUUGGUUCUGGCAUCGAUGAAGAACGCAGCGAAAUGCGAUAAGUAAUGUGAAUUGCAGAAUUCAGUGAAUCAUCGAAUCUUUGAACGCACAUUGCGCCCUCUGGUAUUCCGGGGGCAGUGCCUGCUUUCGAGCGUCAUUACAACCCUCAAGCUUUGCUUGGUAUUGGACACUGCCUUUGCUGGCAGGUCUUAAAUCAGUGGCGGUGCCAUCUGGCUUCAAGCGUAGUAAUUCUUCUCGCUUUGGAGAUCCAGGUGGUUACUUGCCAAUAACCCCAUUUCCAUUCGGUUGACCUCGGAUCAGGUAGGGAUACCCGCUGAACUUAAGCAUAUCAAUAAGCGGAGGGAAGUCGGACUGGCCAAGGGGCACACCAGGGGGGGGGAUA
rnacentral:rRNA from 1 species